GUCCCCGUAGCUCAAUGGAUAGAGCUCCUGCCUUCUAAGCAGGCGAUACAGGUUCGAUUCCUGUCGGGGACA
rnacentral:tRNA from 1 species